UGGCUUUCUCCAUUGGCACAAAAAAGGGCGGAAAAUACUCGAGAGGCUCGUCGGCACGCACUGCUCCCGGUUACCGACUAAAGAUCCGCAGCAUAGUUGUUGGCCUGAGCCGACAUUUCUGCAUGAGCAACAGCUGACGGUGCCGGCUGGAUGCUGGAAGCACGUCCGAAAAGGAGGAGGAAGAAGCAGAGCUCAAUGGUUAACUGGACAUCUUUAUGUGCGCGACGCCUCAAUCAUUGGUGUAAAAGAAAGUGCAUCUCUAUCCUCCUUCAAAAAGAACACCUCCAGGCAACUACAACCCUAAAUUAACACCCUCCCUUCCACAUAAUACCUCUUCGGAUUGUAAAUAAUCAAAUGUAAAUAAUCAAAUGUAGACACUUUUUCUUAUACUUUUUGAUCUCUCUCUCUAUAUCCACUACUUGCUGUACAUAUCCUACCAAGUCAGUCCUACACUGUUUCAAUGUCCAUUUCUCUGAUGAUGCAAUUGUUGAUGCUGAUUGUUGAUGACUAAAGUGUUGAUACCAACCAAACCUAACCCCCCCCACCCCCACCCCCACCCCCCUCCAUAUCCCACACCCCGGAUUGUAAAUAAUGUAAAUAAUUCAAUGUAUAUACUCUGAUGAUUAUCUUGUGUGAUGACUGUAUUAUGAUGUUAGUAUAUAUUUGAUAGUAUAUACUGUAUCUGUAUCAUGAAUCAAUUUAAGUGGACCCCGAAUUA